GAAUGAACGACUGGGUCGCGUCCAUAGAUACAGAACAAAAAGACUGAACGACUGGGUCGCGUCUCUGGAAACCGAACCAAUAGAAUUAAUGACCAGCCGGCUUGGGUAGCAACCCUCUUGUGGAUGGAUGAAAUAGUAUAAAUAAAUUAAUCUAAAUAAUGUUUUUAAUGAAAAUAUGUAAGUCAUUAUUUGAAUAUGUUGGUAACCCAUUGUUUAAAAGUGAUAAUGCUCUCGAAGCCGGUGCUUGGACGAUAUAUUGACUUUGUCUCGGGCCUAACAACACCCGUGCCAAUAUAUCCUCCAAACACUGGCUUCUCUGGCAUUAUAACUUAAAUAAUGCACACUCUAGAAUGCCCUUCAAGCCGAUCAGACACGAGUAUUCAACAAUACGAUGGUUUAAUUAACCAAUAAGGCCCGGUGGAAUGUGGUAUAUGGCCAAUAGUCCGGCACAGUGGACACAUCAUAAAACCUAGCGGUUAACCCGGUAAUGGUUCCAAUAGUUUUUUUCACAAUUUUUGAACUUCUUCAUAUAAGAUCUGUGUUUCGUAUAGGCUUAUCCUGGCGUGAUGUUUUGAUAACAGUGUAAUUCUCUCUCGGACAAGGUGAGUUUUAUCAAUAUAUUCUCCUCAAUUUACUCCAAAAAAAUCUAAAUGGCUCAGCAAGACUACAAAUUCCUGCAGGAAGCUCCUGCAUAUCAUCUCUAGCCGACACUGUCAGCUACCGUUCACCAGUGCGAUCAGAGACCUUCUGUGUCCAAUCCAUGAACUUCUUAUGUCCCCUUUCUCUGUCUUAGCUAGCCACUGACUACACUUUAGCUAGCUAGUUAGCAGAGCAGUAGAUCAAAAAAAUUAUUAGCCUAGAUAAUUGUUUGUACAGUAUGUCAACUUCGGUGUCUAUUUCAGACCACAGUAGUGGUGGAGGUCAAGUGUCCCUAUGGUGCAAGGGACUUACCAUUGAAGAGGCAGUGAAGUCGAAGGAUUUCUAUAUCAAGGAGGGAGGGUCUUACAGCCUCCAUGAAGACCAUCCUUACUGGCACCAGGUCCAAGGUCAGCUCCACAUCACUGGAAGGGACACCUGCUUCUUCAUUGUGUGGACCACCCAAGCUUCCAUCACCAUCCAGUAUGACGACCCCUGACAGACUCAUAUUGCUCCUCCUAGUGAGAGAGUACAUCACUGCCAGCAGAUCCCUUGCUGAGGGUGGCGUUGAUCAUGCACUGCUUCUCGUGGGGCUCAAUGUGCUGUAGUCUCCACAACUGGACGCUCGCGGUCGGAUCACACUGCCGCAGGAUGUCCAUACACUGGAUGGUCUGAAGGAUGCACUCCUGUUGCAUAGAAAUGUGGACUGAGGCGUUUAGCCUACUUUUACAUUGUUUUGAAAUUACAAUCCAUCUUGCAGAAUACGCAGACAGGCACUUUCUAUAGGCAGCAUGCGUGUUUAGUUUGAAAAAGUAACUGCAAAAUAUGAAAACAUUCUGCCCACACCUCUACAGAAAUGUUACAAAUUGCCAUUGCACUUUCUUUUAGAAACUGCCAUGGCUUAAUUCCAAAGAGUUCCAAAUUAUACAGAAAUUAAAGGCUGUUUUCGUCAAUGAUGUAGAUAAAAUCCUGGAUUGCUGAUGAUAUGUAUUAGCCAAUGAGAGGCUUUGAAGCCACCGGUCGGCCAUAUUGGCACUCCCCAGAAGAAGCUGUCCUUUUUAAUUUAAUGUUUCAAGGACAAAAUGACAUGUAUUCAAGUAUUUUUGGUUGUAGUGGGGACAGUAAUAUUAGAAUUUUCAAAAAAUUAUACUUCAAGGAUUCAAAAAUAUAUAUAUUAUGUUUAGCUCACAUAAUAUAAUGUAAAAUUAUGCAUGAAGGUGUAUUCAAUAGAAUAAACGUGGCAAAAAAUAAAUGGAUGGAGGUGCGGGGCUUCAAAACAGCGCCCCUUGGGACUCGUCUAGUGUAUAUCUAAAUCAUUGGUUAUUGUCGCCAUAAAAUGGGAAUGAAGUACGUUUUCGAGGCGCCGUUAUAAUGCUCGUUCACGCGUACACAAUAUUGCGUUAGGUGUGAAUUAUAACUGGGAUGGUGUGCAAAAAGGUUAUAAAUAAAAAAAAGUUUUAUUUGCGCAGACUUAUCAGAAAUGGCGCAAGCUGAAAUGUUCAGCGAAAUUUACGCAACGGUUAUAAAUGGGGACCCUUGUAAUUUUUUAUGUGCCUUUGUUUGCAGGUGUUUGAUGCCAUUCAAUUUGCUCUGUUCCAUCCAUUAUUGAGCCUCUCAGCAGCCUCCUGUGCUGUUCUGUCUAUAUGGUCAUCUCUACUCAAAGCAUCAAUUUAGUAUUUAUUAAGUAGUCAUUCGUUCCUCUGUUGCCAGAUUUGGACAUGGUGGGAUUGUCAUAAAAGGAGUUCAGUAUUGUGUAGGGAACGCUGAAGAAGGCUGUGUUAAGAUUCUUUCUGAGACAUUGCUUUUUUCCUUACCCUGUGACUUUACCUUGACCUAAUUUGACAGCUUCAGAGUUUAAGGUGAGGAGAGGGGGAAAAGCCACAAGGGAAACGCGAGAUGAGGAUGGUUGACCUUUGUAAACAUCUCACUUCCUAA